rnacentral:rRNA from 1 species
AUUGAACGCUGGCGGCAGGCCUAACACAUGCAAGUCGAGCGGAUGAAGGGAGCUUGCUCCUGGAUUCAGCGGCGGACGGGUGAGUAAUGCCUAGGAAUCUGCCUGGUAGUGGGGGAUAACGUCCGGAAACGGGCGCUAAUACCGCAUACGUCCUGAGGGAGGAAGUGGGGGAUCUUCGGACCUCACGCUAUCAGAUGAGCCUAGGUCGGAUUAGCUAGUUGGUGGGGUAAAGGCCUACCAAGGCGACGAUCCGUAACUGGUCUGAGAGGAUGAUCAGUCACACUGGAACUGAGACACGGUCCAGACCCCUACGGGAGGCAGCAGUGGGGAAUAUUGGACAAUGGGCGAAAGCCUGAUCCAGCCAUGCCGCGUGUGUGAAGAAGGUCUUCGGAUUGUAAAGCACUUUAAGUUGGGAGGAAGGGCAGUAAGUUAAUACCUUGCUGUUUUGACGUUACCAACAGAAUAAGCACCGGCUAACUUCGUG